UACGUAGGGUGCAAGCGUUAAUCGGAAUUACUGGGCGUAAAGCGUGCGCAGGCGGUCUUGCAAGACAGAUGUGAAAUCCCCGGGCUCAACCUGGGAACUGCAUUUGUGACUGCAAGGCUGGAGUACGGUAGAGGGGGAUGGAAUUCCGCGUGUAGCAGUGAAAUGCGUAGAUAUGCGGAGGAACACCGAUGGCGAAGGCAAUCCCCUGGACCUGUACUGACGCUCAUGCACGAAAGCGUGGGGAGCAAGCAGG
rnacentral:rRNA from 1 species